UCAACAAUAUUCUCUCCACCACCAUCUUCUUUUCUCCUUCUUCUUUUUACAGAAAAACAACCACCGCCACCACCAACUUCUUCUUCUUCUCCACCAUGAGCGUCGACAUUAAGACCAGCCCACUAUUUCGAGAAAAAGUAACAGUAUUAACCAGCUCCAACACUGUUUCGAGAUGCCCUAAUUUUUCUAAAAUUCUCGAUUUUUAUUAUUCCCUGAAGAUCAAAGAGGUUGUUUAUUUCAUCAAAGAUUAGCAGCGAAGGACCUAAAAAUCAUGUGGUGCACACUUCUUCAGCUUGACACACUAGUAGAGUUUUGAGUUGUUGGGCGAAUUAUCUGCUCCUAACUUUCUAAUGACUUGUAUCUAUUGUGAGUGUAUCUCUUGUUGUAUUUCAUCUUCUUGGAGUUCAUGUUGUUACGCUACUCAAUGUUGCACCGCCGUCAGUUACGCAUUGAGAUUUGAAUCUCAUUUUGGAAUUUUGAAACAUCCAAGUGUCGGUCUAUAUUAUAUGAAUCUUUAUUGUGAUAUAUUUGGUAAACAAAAGUUGUAGUUAUGGCUAGUUUUGGUAGCCGUCGAUAGUCCUAUAACGUGCGCACGCAUCAAUUA